rnacentral:rRNA from 1 species
AUUGAACGCUGGCGGCAGGCCUAACACAUGCAAGUCGAGCGGAUGAAGGGAGCUUGCUCCUGGAUUCAGCGGCGGACGGGGGGGUAAUGCCUAGGAAUCUGCCUGGUAGGGGGGGAUAACGUCCGGAAACGGGCGCUAAUACCGCAUACGUCCUGAGGGAGAAAGGGGGGGAUCUUCGGACCUCACGCUAUCAGAUGAGCCUAGGUCGGAUUAGCUAGUUGGUGGGGUAAAGGCCUACCAAGGCGACGAUCCGUAACUGGUCUGAGAGGAUGAUCAGUCACACUGGAACUGAGACACGGUCCAGACUCCUACGGGAGGCAGCAGUGGGGAAUAUUGGACAAUGGGCGAAAGCCUGAUCCAGCCAUGCCGCGUGUGUGAAGAAGGUCUUCGGAUUGUAAAGCACUUUAAGUUGGGAGGAAGGGCAGUAAGUUAAUACCUUGCUGUUUUGACGUUACCAACAGAAUAAGCACCGGCUAACUUCGUG